UGGAUAGUAAAAUGUUUACCUUUCUAAGUC
rnacentral:piRNA from 1 species